UAAAACUCUUCAAUGGUUCCUGGCUGUUUUCAAAAUAAAAAUUAAACUUCUGAAGGCUUGCAGUGUCUGGCCCGUUUCCUCUCCUCCCAUCUUACUCCAGUCAUGCUAGCCUUCAACUGCCAUGGUCUCUCAGUCCCCACAGAACCUUUGCAUAUCCUGUUCUGGAUACUUGCUAAGUUCUUCCCUGUUGCUUCCCCACAAUUAAUUAAAAGCUGCUCAAAUGCCAGGCACAAUGGCUCACUUUAUUAAAACCUUGCAAGGGCCAAAGGAAAAAGGGAUUUUUUUUUUCUCCAUCUGUGGCUAAAUGCCACCUUCUUGGGUUCUGCUGUCCGAGUUUUCCUGAGUCCCUGCAGCACAUUCCCUGCCCUCACAGCAGAUAUCUUAGUGGCAAGGCUGUCCAGACACCAAACACACAUCGUACAAUUCACCUUAUUUCU
rnacentral:lncRNA from 1 species